AGACCUCCAAUGAUCAUUAUACUAUUGGACCCAUUAUCAUCCAACUUAAUGAGAGGCUAUGAUUUAGUUAUCACCAUAACUAUCUCACUUUAGGGACCUAAUAAUUUAGAGGAUUAAAUUUAUGAAUUAAGAGAAGAGAAGAGAAGAGAUCAACCAAUAAACCACAAUUCUCUCACUGACUUCACCAAGUCAUUGAAUUGGAUUAAGGUCAUGUUGGUCGAACUGGCACCU
rnacentral:lncRNA from 1 species